UCAAAUAUUUACUCUGCUUUCAAAAUCCAUGAAAUGCACACUGUUGGAAUGUUAGGACAUGAAAGCAUUGCAUACAGAUAGAAAUCAUUGUUAUAAAAAUUAUUAAAUGUAAAAAUCUUACCUUGCACAAUUAAAUGUAGUGAUUCACCAAGAAAAACCUUGUCCCAUAUUUUCCAAAAGAAGGAAUGAAGAGAGAUAAAACAUAAUUUUAGCAGUUUUGAUACCAUCCAUAUUGCAUAUCUUGUAAACAAAUUCACUUUAAUAGAACCUAAAUGACUUACAUUGAAGUGACUGAAAGCAAAUCGUCAAACUAUGUUGAAAGCAUGUCAAAGGAAAAUGAAGGACACGACAUGCUUUGAAGAAUUCAACAACAAAAAUUAACUAAUUGAUUUCUCCGGUAAAUGUUUUAAAUCUUAUUUUAUAGUUAAGACUCAAACUCUAGACAAGUGUAAUAUUCAGCAAGACUGAGAUCCUAAGGUCAUAUAAAGUCCACAAGAAAACAGAGCAAACGACUACAACCAGAACUUCACUAUAGAUGCCGCUACAGCCAUUAGUUGAUCGCUAUUGGGCCGCUACAGUUGCUAUUAAAAUACACAAUGGGGUUUUGUGUGGUGUCUAAGAGCCAUUACACAACCCAACUAUUGACUACAUAGCAUUUAAGAAUUACGGCACUAGGAUAAUCAUUUUAAAUAAAUGCUUACUCAAUAAGCGCGUUAAAACUUGUUCUAUAAGAAAUCUAAAUGUUGCCACAAUUGAAGAGAAGUAGAUAAACUCCACGUCAAUUGUUUCUACAACAAAGAGGAAACACGAAAAACUCCACAUAUUUUUAUAAGCUAUUAUAUGACAACAUCUAUAACCUCUUCCAAACAUUUACAUACGUACAUAUGUCAUGAGAUAAAGAAAAAAAACCUAUGCUAUACCAAAUUACCAAUUAGAUCAAGCAAUUACACUAGUAAUAACAUUUAAGUAGUGAAUGAUCAUCAUUUUAUAAACACAAUUUAAAUCAAAAGGUAUACUAUUAGGCAAGACCAAUAACACCAUUUUUCUCAAGAAUUUAAAUUAUAUCAAUCAUUAAUAAUUCAAAGGAAUAAGUAAGAAUACUCACAUAUUUCUUACGUCCAUAACCCUCAUCAUCAUCAUCACCACGCCUCUCCCGACGCUCAUAACCAUACUCAACACCUUCCUCACUCACAUUUUCACUCCUUCCAUAGCUAGGUUUCUCUUCAUACUCACUCCUUCCAUAGCUAGGUUUCUCUUCAUACUCACUCCUUCCAUAGCUAGGUUUCACCUCAUACUCACUCCUUCCAUAACUAGGUUUCUCUUCAUACUCACUCCUUCCAUAACUAGGUUUCUCUUCAUACUCACUCCUUCCAUAACUAGGUCUCUCUUCCUCCCCAUAAUCACUCUUCUUCCUCCCACCAUACCCCGAUCCAUACUCCGAUUCCUCACUCUUCUUCCUCCCAUACCCUUCAUUCUCUUCCUCAUUCCUCCUUCCAUAUCCACCUCCAUAUUCCGAACUUUCAUUCUUCCUCCCACCACCAUACCCCGAUCCAUACUCAGUUUCCUCCUUCCUGCCACCACCAUAU
rnacentral:lncRNA from 1 species